rnacentral:rRNA from 1 species
GACGAACGCUGGCGGCGUGCCUAAUACAUGCAAGUUGAGCGAUGAAGAUUGGUGCUUGCCCCCAUUUGAAGAGCAGCGCACGGGUGAGUAACGCGUGGGGAAUCUGCCUUUGAGCGGGGGACAACAUUUGGAAACGAAUGCUAAUACCGCAUAAUAACUUUAAACAUAAGUUUUAAGUUUGAAAGAUGCAAUUGCAUCACUCAAAGAUGAUCCCGCGUAGUAUUAGCUAGUUGGUGAGGUAAAGGCUCACCAAGGCGAUGAUACAUAGCCGACCUGAGAGGGGGAUCGGCCACAUUGGGACUGAGACAAGGCCCAAACUCCUACGAGGGGCAGCAGUAGGGAAUCUUCGGCAAUGGACGAAAGGCUGACCGAGCAACGCCGCGUGAGUGAAGAAGGUUUUCGGAUCGUAAAACUCGGUUGGUAGAGAAGAACGUUGGUGAGAGUGGAAAGCUCAUCAAGUGACGGUAACUACCCAGAAAGGGACGGCUAACUACGUG